AUACCGCAUAACGUCGCAAGACCAAAGAGGGGGACCUUCGGGCCUCUUGCCAUCAGAUGUGCCCAGAUGGGAUUAUCUAGUAGGUGGGGUAACGGCUCACCUAGGCGACGAUCCCUAUCUGGUCUGAGAGGAUGACCAGCCACACUGGAACUGAGACACGGUCCAGACUCCUACGGGAGGCAGCAGUGGGGAAUAUUGCACAGUGGGCGCAAGCCUGAUGCAGCCAUGCCGCGUGUAUGAAGAAGGCCUUCGGGUUGUAAAGUACUUUCAGCGGAGAAGAAGGCGUUGAGGUUAAUAACCUCAGCGAUUGACGUUACCCGCAGAAGAAGCACCGGCUAACUCCGUGCCAGCAGCCGCGGUAAUACGGAGGGUGCAAGCGUUAAUCGGAAUUACUGGGCGUAAAGCGCACGCAGGCGGUCUGUCAAGUCGAGAUGUGAAAUCCCCGGUCUCAACCUGGAGAACUGCAUUCGAAAACUGGGCGGGCUAGAGGUCUUGUAGAGGGGGGGUAGAAAUUCCAGGGUGUAGCGGGUGAAAUGCGUGAGAUCUGGGAGG
rnacentral:rRNA from 1 species